UUUCCGUAGGUGAACCUGCGGAAGGAUCAUUAUUGGAUUUUGAAACUUCAGGCUGCUGCUGGCUCUCCUCGGAGGGCAUGUGCACGCUUGUUGUCCAUUAUUUCUCCCACUGUGCACAAAUUGUAGACCUUUCAGUAGGCCUAUGUUGUUUUUCACAAUCUCUGAAUGUAAUAGAAUGGUUUUGAAUCUUGGGAAAUACAAUACAACUUUCAGCAACGGAGCUCGUGGCUCUUGCAUCGAGGAAGAACGCAGC
rnacentral:misc_RNA from 1 species